UACGAGGGGUGCAAGCGUUGCUCGGAAUUAUUGGGCGUAAAGGGUAGGUAGGUGGUCUUAUUUGUCUUAUGUGAAAGCCUUGGGCUUAACCCAAGAAGUGCGUAAGAAACGGUAAGACUAGAGUCCUGGAGAGGGUCGUGGAAUUCCCGGUGUAGCGGUGAAAUGCGUAGAGAUCGGGAGGAACACCAGAGGCGAAGGCGGCGACCUGGACAGGCACUGACACUAAACUACGAAAGCGUGGGGAGCAAACAGG
rnacentral:rRNA from 1 species